rnacentral:rRNA from 1 species
GNNNNNNNNNNGUNNNNNNNNNNNNNGUANANUCAGAANNNAAAUCCAUGGGCUUAACNCNNNNNNNNCUUUUGAAACUAUCGAACUUGAGUGAAGUAGAGGUAGGCGGAAUUCCCGGUGUAGCGGUGAAAUGCGUAGAGAUCGGGAGGAACACCAGUGGCGAAGGCGGCCUACUGGGCUUUAACUGACGCUGAGGCACGAAAGCAUGGGUAGCAAACAGGAUUAGAUACCCUGGUAGUCCAUGCCGUAAACGAUGAUUACUAGGUGUGGGGGGUCUGACCCCCUCCGUGCCGGAGUUAACACAAUAAGUAAUCCACCUGGGGAGUACGACCGCAAGGUUGAAACUCAAAGGAAUUGACGGGGGCCCGCACAAGCAGUGGAGUAUGUGGAUUAAUUCGAAGCAACGCGAAGAACCUUACCAGGUCUUGACAUCCAGCUAACGAAGUAGAGAUACAUUAGGUGCCCUUCGGGGAAAGCUGGGACAGGUGGUGCAUGGUUGUCGUCAGCUCGUGUCGUGAGAUGUUGGGUUAAGUCCCGCAACGAGCGCAACCCUUACUGUUAGUUGCUACGCAAGAGCACUCUAGCAGGACCGCCGUUGACAAAACGGAGGAAGGUGGGGAUGAUGUCAAAUCAUCAUGCCCCUUAUGACCUGGGCCUCACACGUACUACAAUGGCCGCCAACAGAGGGAAGCAAUACCGCGAGGUGGAGCAAAACCCUAAAAGCGGUCCCAGUUCGGAUUGUAGGCUGCAACCCGCCUGCAUGAAGUUGGAAUUGCUAGUAAUCGCGGAUCAGCAUGCCGCGGUGAAUACGUUCCCGGGCCUUGUACACACCGCCCGUCACACCAUGGGAGCCGGUAAUACCCGAAGUCAGUAGCUUAACCGCAAGGAGGGCGCUGCCGAAGGUAGGAUUGGCGACUGGGGUGAAGUCGUAACAAGGUAGCCGUA